rnacentral:rRNA from 1 species
UACAGAGGGUGCGAGCGUUAAUCGGAAUUACUGGGCGUAAAGCGCGCGUAGACGGUUUUGUAAGUCAGAUGUGAAAUCCCUGGGCUCAACCUGGGAACUGCAUUUGAAACUGCAUGGCUAGAGUAUGGAAGAGGGAAGUGGAAUUUCCGGUGUAGCGGUGAAAUGCGUAGAUAUCCGUAGGAACAUCCGAGGCGAAAGCGGCUCGCUGGAUCACAACUGACGCUGAGAGACGAAAGCUAGGGGAGCAAACAG